CUAGUCUCUGAUGAGGCCGGAACUCUCCAGCAAGUGGGCCUAUGACUGAGAAACCCCGGGCAACUUUGAGGUCCCUUUGAGGAAAUGAAACUUCAUCAAAAGCAGCCAAUAUUAAUGAUAUAUUGAGCAUCUAUUGUGUACAUCCAGUCUUCUAGUCUCCUUGGUGACAUUCAUCUUAUUUAACCUUCCCAGUAAAUCAGCAAAAUAAGUACCAUUACCCUCUUUUAUGGAAUAAAACUAAAACUCACAGAGGUUGAGUAACUUUUGAAUCACUCAACCUUCUCAACGCAUGAAGAAAAAAUCCGACCCAAACAAGAGACAUUGGAGAGCAGGUGCAAGAAACCUGAAUCUUAAUCCUGAAAUGGAGAAAGCCAAGAACGUCCUGAUCUAAACUACAGAGCCCUCAGAAGACUCAGAACAACACACAAGUUCUUGGGAAGCUACUGGAGGAUGUGUGUCAUCAAAACAAGG
rnacentral:lncRNA from 10 species